AAACUUAAAGAAUGAAAGUUGUAGAUCUACUUCUCCUCUUUCCAGAACAUCUUGAAUCAUCGAAAUCGGAGUUCGGACGAAGAAGUUAUGACCAUUUUCUCAAAGGACGUCGGAGCAGAAAAUGUCAGAACAUGGGGCCAGCGUCGGGGCACCCAUUUUUGGCCUAUGCCCAGCGCCGGGGCACUGGGGAGCAGUGUUUGAGCAUCAAGUCCAGCGCUGGGGCGCUGGGGAAGGGCUUGGUGAUGGCCUGGACGCGUUUUUGGGCGAAUUUUGACACCUUUUUGACUCCAAAUUGGAUUGGGUUUGUUCCUAAGCUAAAAAUUGGACUUGCAACCUAUAAAUACAUGAUGUAAGGCAUAAAAUAA
rnacentral:lncRNA from 1 species